GACGAACCGUGCGAACGUUGUUCGGAAUCACUGGGCUUAAAGGGCGCGUAGGCGGACAAUCAAGUCAGGGGUGAAAUCCCACGGCUCAACCGUGGAAGUGCCUUUGAUACUGACUGUCUCGAGGGAGGUAGGGGCGUGCGGAACUUCCGGUGGAGCGGUGAAAUGCGUAGAUAUCGGAAGGAACGCCGGUGGCGAAAGCGGCGCACUGGACCACAUCUGACGCUGAGGCGCGAAAGCUAGGGGAGCAAACAGGG
rnacentral:rRNA from 1 species